rnacentral:miRNA from 1 species
GGCUACGGCCAUACCACCCUGAACAUAACUGAUCUCGUCUGAUCUUGGAAGCUAAGCAGGGUCGGGCCUGGUUAGUACUUGGAUGGG